GCCGGAGUGGCGAAAUGGCAGACGCAGCAGACUCAAAAUCUGCCGCACGUGAGUGUGUGAGGGUUCGAGUCCCUCCUCCGGCACCA
rnacentral:tRNA from 2 species